rnacentral:lncRNA from 1 species
AUUUUGUUUAGGGGGAGUAUGAUUUUAUUUUCCACGAAAUUCAAAAUUUUCCAAAAUUCUACUUUAUAAACUCUUCUAUCUACUUACGUACUCUCUCUCUCACACUCUCUCUCUCUCUCUCUACUAGCAUACAAUACCUUUGCCCUCUUUCAUCUACUCACACAACAAACCAGAAAAGAAAGGAGAAGAUGCCAGUGUUACGUUCUGGUAAAUAAAGAGUCUAUAGACCCCCUAGUGGUUUUAUACUCCCUUGCUAUUACGUAUACUUGAUGCAGCGAACGAUUAUGAAAGAACCUGAGGAGCUGUUAAACUACCUGUUCGUUUCCUUAUCUAAAAAAUAAAAUGGAUUCUUUUUACCGAUUCUCCCUACCUUUGAGAAAAGUUAUCUCAAUCAUCUUCCUUACAAUUUAGGGUGCAUUUGAUCUUGUUCUGUAAAGUAAUUUUAAUAGGCCUUUUUAACUCUAUAAUGGUGGCAGUACUUGAUGUUCUUUAAUUUUUUUUGGUCAAUUUGGUUCAUAGAACUCUGCUGAAUUAAUUUUUGCUUUCUAAUGGCGAUCUGUGUAUUGGUGUAGUUUUUCCACCACACAAUUAUUUUGAACAGAAUUUCUUAUCGUUAAGAAAUGUUUGAGAUUAAUAAGUUUGUUAUAUAUUUUAAUUUCUUGAAAUCAAAUUAUUUGCACGUGAUAAUUCACAAUAAAAAGGAGGUUGAUGUACUUACUAAUACUAUGACUAUUUAGAUUAAUAUAAAAAUAUAUCUCUUUGAAAGACUUUUAGACAUGUCAUCAACAUUAUUAAGUUACUUACAUAUUGCUUAUUACUAUUACCAUUUUGCAAGUAUUAACAUUAUUUCCUGGAGCUCUACUAGAGAAACAGAUUAUGGUUCAUUGUUCUAAUUUGCUAGUGUUAGUUCAUCCUGUUCCAAUAUGGAAUUAUAUAUUCUUUUUUCCUUAAUUUAUGCUUAACUAUUAUCAUUGCC